rnacentral:rRNA from 1 species
UAGGGAAUCUUCGGCAAUGGACGACAGUCUGACCGAGCAACGCCGCGUGAGUGAAGAAGGUUUUCGGAUCGUAAAACUCUGUUGUUCGAGAAGAACAAGGACGUUAGUAACUGAACGUCCCCUGACGGUAUCUAACCAGAAAGCCACGGCUAACUACGUGCCAGCAGCCGCGGUAAUACGUAGGUGGCAAGCGUUGUCCGGAUUUAUUGGGCGUAAAGCGAGCGCAGGCGGUUUCUUAAGUCUGAUGUGAAAGCCCCCGGCUAAACCGGGGAGGGUCAUUGGGAACUGGGAGACUUGAGGGCAGAAGAGGAGAGUGGAAUUCCAUGUGUAGAGGUGAAAUGCGGAGAUAUAGGGGGGAACACCAGGGGCGAAGGAGGCUCUCUGGUCUGUAACUGACGCUGAGGAGGGAAAGCGUGGGGAGCAAACAGG